rnacentral:lncRNA from 1 species
UACCGCGGUUGUAACCGCGGCCUAAAGUCUUUGACUUACUACCGCGGUAAAAUAUACCGCGGUUCGUAAACCGCGACCUAUAGUGAAAAAUAACCGCGGUUGUUAGACAUUACAACAGGGGAAAAAAAUGCAUUGUUACUAUGUUCAACGUGGUUGUUAGUUGGCAUUCUAGUUGUUCUUCUGGCCUUCUCUUCAGCUAACUCUGCCUCCAACACAUCCACCUUCAUUUUAAGUUCUUCAAUCAGACAUUCUUGCUCCUUAGCACUACAACACAUCCACCUCCAACCCAAAACCCAACAAUGCAAAACAAAAACCCAAAAGUCGAACAACACAAAAACCCAAGUACCCUAACAAAAAACCCAAAACCCAACAACGCAUUUACCUUCCUACAACGAAGCUACUGUUCGGGAAUUUCCAUUUCCACCAAACGCGACAACGGAGAACCAAAAACCAAACGUCACACAGACCAAGCAGGGGGCAACUACAAGGCAGGGAAGAACGAAAUGAGAGAGAGAACGAAAUCUGAGAAAAACACAAUGGAACAGCCAAAGGGUAUAUUUGGAAUGGAAAAUUUUCCAAAUUCUAUUCAUUUUGGUUCAUAGAUUUAAAAAAAAAAGAAAAAAAAACUAACCAAUGCCAGCUUGACACGUAUGUGUGUCAAAACUGUGUCAAAAAAGUUGUGUUAAAAUAAUGGGAUCCAUAACAAAAAGAGGGCUUUCAAACAAAGUAUUAAAAGCAGAAAAUUUUGAAAGUCUUCGGUUCAAUUUUUCCUUCAUAUUGGAUAUAUUUAACUUUGAAAAGACAACUAAAGAAACUAUAUAAAAACCUAACUUGAGUUUUGAUACAUUAUACUUGCAAAUGAAUUUAAAUAUUUAAAAAUCAC